rnacentral:rRNA from 1 species
CGAUGACGGUACCCCAGGAACAAGCAUCGGCAAACUUCGUGCCAGCAGCCGCGGUAAGACGAAGGAUGCGAGCGUUAUCCGGAAUCACUGGGCGUAAAGGGCGUCUAGGCGGUCGGGUAAGUCACUUGUGAAAGCCCGCGGCACAACUGCGGAAGGUCUCGUGAUACUGCUCGACUCGGGUGCAGGAGAGGGAAGUGGAACUCACAGAGUAGCGGUGGAAUGCGUAGAUACUGUGAGGUACCCCGAUGGCGAAGGCAACUUCCUGGCCUGCUACCGACGCUGAAGCGCGAAAGCGUGGGGAGCGAAGGGGAUUAGAUACCCCCGUAGUCCACGCCCCAAACGAUGUUCACUUGGUGUCGGCCGCCUAUGUAGGUCGGUGCCGGAGCUAACGCGUUAAGUGAACCGCCUGAGGAUUACGGCCGCAAGGCUAAAACUCAAGAGAAUUGACGGGCCCCCGCACAAGCGGUGGAGCACGUGGUUUAAUUCGAUGGUAAGCGAAGAACCUCACCUGGGCUUGACAUACUAGUGGUAGGAACCUGAAAGGGGGACGACCCUGCCUUCGGGUAGGGAGCUAGUACAGGUGAUGCAUGGCUGUCGUCAGCUCGUGUCGUGGGAUGUAGGGUUAAGUCCCGAAACGAGCGCAACCCUUGUCGUUAGUUGCCAGCGGGUCAUGCCGGGGACUCUAACGAGACUGCUGGUGAAUAGCCGGAGGAGGGCGGGGAUGACGUCAAGUCAUCAUGUCCCUUACGCCCAGGGCGACACACAUGCUACAAUGGGAGGUACAGAGGGUAGCGAACCCGUAAGGUGGAGCCAAUCCCACAAAGCCUCCCUCAGUUCGGAUUGAGGUCUGCAACUCGACCUCA